UCGGGGCUCUCAACUCUGACCUGCUGCGUCAGUAAGGGUUGUGAGUCCAGACUCGAGCUUGCAAUAAACGGCUCUCGUGUGCUUGCAUCAGAUUGGACUCCUUGGCGGUCUUUGGGGAUCCACGAUCUGGGCAUAACAGGACCCCCAAACCGGAGAGUCUACUGCUGAUUGGCUGGAUAGAGGCCUUUCCAACUAAGCGUGAGACUGCAUGGGUGGUAGCCAGAAAGAUAUUAGAAGACAUCCCGCCCAGGUAUGGCUUUCCUGUAAGGAUAGGAUCAGACAAUGGACCUGCUUUCGUCUCCAAGCCUUACAAAGGGUUCAUGAAGAAGUAUGGCCAAAGUUGAGGGAACUGUACGAAACUGGGCCUCCACCAGUACCCCACCAGUAUAGACUGGGAGACUGGGUGCUUGUUAAACAACACUGGCAGGAGAACUUGGAACCCAGGUGGAAAGGACCAUUCCAGGUUAUUCUGACGACGCCCACCGCUCUCAAAGUAGAUGGAGUGGCCAUCUGGAUUCACCACACCCACGCCAAGCAAGCAGACCCGUUCCUGGACUUGAUCGAGCCCGGCUUGGACAGUCAACCGGACCAGAGAUAACUCCUUAAAACUGACGCUGCGUCGGGAGCGGAAGAACUGAGCUGUGACCAUGUUGUCUUUAACCUUGAUGUUUCUGAGCAAUGUUUUCAUCAACGCUUAUGCUGAUAGUAAUCCCCAUUACCCCUAUACUUGGACUUGGAUUGUUAAAAAUCCUGAGACGGGGAAGAGACUAACUCUUAUAUCCACUCAUGGACCCCUACCCCAGUUUCCAGACUUAUUUUUUGAUUUAUGCCAAUUAGCUGAAGGGUCGUGGGCCCGCACUAGUUGGACCAAACAAGAUUCCUACCCGGAGUGCCGGUGGCGAAACUGGUAUGUAUGCCCUGGAGGGAAAAGAACUGAUAGUUGCGGAGGCCCCAGUGACUAUUAUUGUAAGAAAUGGGGGUGCGAGACCAGCACAUCCACUUGGUGGAGGGGGAAAGGAGGAGACCUUGUUGGUUUUACUAAAAGUAGCUCACAGAAUUCUAAGAUCAGAAUUCAAUUUACUGAACUAGGGGAAAAGGCUGGAGGAUGGGAGCUGGGGAAGUCCUGGGGACUUAGGCUGUACAGGCCCGGGGGUAACCAUGAAGGGAUACUUUUGACACUCCAGGUCAUUAAGUCCUGGGAUUGACCGCCGGUGGCAGUGGGACCCAACCUUAUCUUAAACCCUGUGGUUGGGCCUACUCCUAGGACCAUCCUAGUGUCUGGACCAGUCCCUUCCACGCCGUCAUCUAUUGACAUUCAGACCAGCCUUGGUCCCCAAACCCAGGCAUCUGCCCCCGCUUACUUACCCCACCACCCACUUGUAAAGUUAAUGCAAAAGUCCUUUUUAGUACUGAACCAGACUCAGCCUAAGAAAACGAGGUCUGGCUGGUUAUGUGAUGAUAGCAUGCUCCCCUAUUAUGAAGGAAUUGCAGCUCAGGACAAUGUUACUGUAUCAAGUGAGGUGCCAUCCUGCAGAUGGAAAUCGAAGGUAGGACUCACAGUAACUAAAAUAAUAGGGACCCGGAGUGUGCCGGGGAAGUGAGCAAAGAAACGGCCCCCUUGUGCAACUCCACGCAAAAACAGGUGAAUAGUUACUUGGUCCCCCCAAAUGAUGCUUGGUGGGCCUGCUCUAAAGCAGGGCUAACCCCCUGUGUGCACACCACUGUUUUACAACAACUUGAAAUGCCCACUCUUCAAAGACCACCAGAGACUCAGACACUCAAACUGCAAAACGCAAGGUUUAUUCAGAACAAGCCAAGGCUCGGGCCUCAUCCCACACACUGACAGAGCAUAGGGAGGGAGGAGACCCCGAGCCACAUUCCAGCAGGGUUUAUAAAGGCAAAAACCACAAGGUGACAAAAAGAUACAUUAUCCAGGUAUUCAAACAGAAUUACAUGUGAAUACAAAUCUGAUUGGCUCGGGGCUAGGGGUAACAUUCCAGGGUGGUUAGCGUCAGCAGGAGGUUACAGAACCGGAUGGGUCACCUGU